UGACAAACAAUAGUGGGAUAGUGCCCACAAUUAGUGCGAUGAUCACUAGAAGAAACUAGUGGAUUCAUUUCAAAAGCAAAAUCCAUUAUUUUAUGUUAGGUGGUUUAGUGAAUCUUCAUAAGUGAAACAGCUGGUUUAAUAUAGAGUUCUGCAGGCUCUUUGUUGCAUGUAGGUGUAUCAAUCUCUCUAUGCGCUGCACUUAGAAUCAUGAGUAAUCCCAACAGUCCAGAUCUGU